rnacentral:rRNA from 1 species
UACGUAGGGUGCAAGCGUUGUCCGGAAUUAUUGGGCGUAAAGAGCUCGUAGGCGGUUCGUCGCGUCGGCUGUGAAAUCCCGGAGCUCAACUCCGGGUCUGCAGUCGAUACGGGCGGACUUGAGUUCGGCAGGGGGGACUGGAAUUCCUGGUGUAGCGGUGAAAUGCGCAGAUAUCAGGAGGAACACCGGUGGCGAAGGCGGGUCUCUGGGCCGAUACUGACGCUGAGGAGCGAAAGCGUGGGGAGCGAACAGG